GCUGAGAGGAGCGGGCUUGCCUCAGUGCCCCAGCAGGGAGGCGCUGCAGGAGGGAAAAAUGAGGACGAAGUAGACGUUUCCUGUGUCCAGCUGAGCGCUGACCGGAGGGCCAUCUCAGAGGACUCGGGGCGCGGGGGGAGAGCUCCAUGUGCAAAACGGCGGGUUUUCAGUUAGAUUUCUGUUAGAUGAUCUGGAGGAUGACCAGUGAUGUUCUUCAGUGCAGGUCAUCCAGAGGACCCAAGAGAUGGUGGUUACUAAUAGACUUCCCACAGUACUUCUUCAUUCCAUGUGGACUCCUACAAUGGCGGUGAGCAUCACAGCUUCCCUUGAACUUCAUCUGGGACUGCCCUCUGGAUGUGGAAGACUUCCGAGCCCAGCAGUGUUCGGCCUACAAUGAUGUUCAGUAGCAGGGAUGUUAUUAUGAAUGGCUUCCACAGUACAACGACCCUGCCACCCACUGCACGCUCAGGUGUCAGGCACAGGGACAAAACUUUGUCCUGGAUGGGACUCAGUGCACCGCUGACCCCUUGGGCAUGUGUAUCAAUGACAUCUG